UACGAAGGAUGCAAGCGUUAUCCGGAUUCACUGGGUUUAAAGGGUGUGCAGGUGGGGUAAUGAGUCAGUGGUGAAAGCCCCCGACUCAAUCGGGGAACGUGCCAUAGAUACUGUUAUUCUUGAGUGUGGUUGAGGUGGGCGGAAUAUGACAUGUAGCGGUGAAAUGCGUAGAUAUGUCAUAGAACACCGAUCGCGAAGGCAGCUCGCCAAACCAUUACUGACACUGAAACACGAAAGUGCGGGGAUCAAACAGGAUUAGAUA
rnacentral:rRNA from 1 species